rnacentral:tRNA from 1 species
GGGGCCUUAGCUCAGUUGGGAGAGCGCCACGCUGGCAGCGUGGAGGUCGCGGGUUCGAGCCCCGCAGGCUCCA